rnacentral:lncRNA from 1 species
AUGUCUAGAGAGGUUUGUGGCCUGCCRGGGGCUCGUGUGAGAGAUGUCAUGGAAAGACUGCCAAGGCUCGUCCAUGCUUCGGACUAUUACCCACUGCUGCUCUUCCAUGUGGGCGCCAAUGACACCAAGGGCAAACUGGAGACCAUCAAGCAGGAUUUCAGAGCUCUGGGGAUGGUGGUCAAGGGUCUGGGAGCCCAGGUCAUCUUCUCCUCGAUCCUGCCAGUGAGGGGGAUGGAUGAGAGGAGGAGGAGACGGACUUUCCAAGUUAACGACUGGCUGCACCACCGGUGUUGGCAACAGGGUUUUGGUUUCUACGACCAUGGGACCCUGUUUGAAGAUCGACAAAUGCUGGGGAGAGAUGGGAUCCACCUCACGAGGUGGGGGCAUGUGUGUCUUUGCCAACAGGCUGRCCAACCUGGUAAGGAGGGCUUUAAACUAGGAAAGAUGGGGGAAGGGGAGAGUUACAGUGCCAGGGUAGUUGGCAAAAGACAGCUCAAGUCGGGACGCCUCCAGCAGGUGAAUGCAGCCAGGGAAGUGCGCAUGGGAUGUGGCUAUGGAGGACCCUCUUUUACCCCUCCUGGGAAACCUGCAUGCUCGAUCACCUCUCUGAAAUGCCUGUACACCAAUGCAUGCAGCAUAGGUAACAAACAGGAAGAACUAGAGAUCUGUGUGCGGUCACAGGGCCAUGAUCUCAUUGCCAUUACAGAGACAUGGUGGGAUAGCUCGCAUGACUGGAGUGCUGUCAUGGAUGGCUACGUGCUUUUUAGGAAAGACAGGCCAGGAAAGCGAGGUGGUGCAGUUGCUCUUUAUGUGAGAGAGCACCUGGAAUGUAUUGAGCUGUGCCUAGGGGUGGAUGAAGAGCGAGUCGAGAGCUUAUGGGUAAGGAUUAAAGGGCAGGCUAGCAUGGGUGACACUGUGGUGGGUGUUUACUACAGGCCACCUGAUCAGGAAGAGGAAGUCGAUGAGGCCUUCUACAGGCAGCUGGAAGUAGCCUCACGAUCCCAGGCCCUGGUUCUCAUGGGGGACUUCAAGCACCCUGAUAUCUGCUGGAAAGACAACCCAGCUAGGCACAAACAGUCCUGGAGGUUCCUGCAGAGCAUUGGUGACAACUUCUUGACACAGGUGGUGGAGGAGCCAAUGAGGAGAGGUGUGCUGCUGGACCUUGUACUAACAAACAAAGAAGGACUGGUGGAAGAUGUGAAGUUUGGGGGCGGCCUUGGCUGCAGUGACCAUGAGAUGGUGGAGUUCAGGAUCCUGCGAGGAGGCAGCAGGGCACUAAGUAGGAUUGCAACCCUGGACUUGAGGAGAGCAAACUUUGGCCUCUUCAGGGACCUACCUGGAGGAAUCCCAUGGGUUAGGGCCCUAGAAGGAAGGGGCGUUCAAGAGAGCUGGUUAAUAUUCAAACAUCACCUCCUCCAGGCUCAAGAGCGGUGCGUCCCUAUGAGUAGGAAGUCAAGCAAAGGAGGUAGGAGACCUGCAUGGAUGAGCAAGGAGCUCCUGGCAAAACUCAACCAGAAGAAGGAAGUCUACAGAAAGUGGAAAGGGGGACAGGCCACUUGGGAGGAAUAUGGGAACGUUGUGAGAGUAUGCAGGGAUGCGACAAGGAAGGCUAAGGCCCGUUUGGAAUUAAAUCUGGCAAGAGAUGUCAAGGACAACAAGAAGGGCUUCUUCAAAUACAUCAGUAGCAAGAGGAAGACUAGGGAAAAUGUGGGCCCUUCGCUGAAUGGGGUGGAUGCCCUGGUGACGAAGGAUACAGAGAAGGCAGAGUUACUGAAUGCCGCCUUUGCUUCAGUCUUUACUACUCAGGCCAGCCCUCAGGAUUCCCAGACCCUGGAGGCAAGAGAGAAAGUCUGGAGAAAGGAAGACUUUCCCUUGGUCGAGGAGGACUGGGUUAGAGAUCAUUUAGGCAGACCUGACACCCACAGAUCCAUGGGCCCUGAUGGGAUGCACCCAUGA